AAGAUGGGAGCCACUCAGGCUAGCCAAGGAGACUGCCUGCGAGACCAAGCACAGCAGAACAAAGCCACGCAUUGCGUUGCCCUCCUGCUGCUGGAGACCACAGGCAAGUCAUCCUUGGCUACCUUAGCAGAGCUCUCAUCG
rfam:Dichanthelium oligosanthes cultivar Kellogg 1175 unplaced genomic scaffold Do_version_2_scaffold527, whole genome shotgun sequence.